UACAGAGGUCUCAAGCGUUGUUCGGAUUCAUUGGGCGUAAAGGGUGCGUAGGUGGCGCGCUAAGUCAGGUGUGAAAUUUCGGAGCUUAACUCCGAAACUGCAUUUGAUACUGGCGUGCUUGAGGACCGGAGAGGAGACUGGAAUUCAUGGUGUAGCAGUGAAAUGCGUAGAGAGCAUGAGGAAGACCAGUGGCGAAGGCGGGUCUCUGGACAGUUCCUGACACUGAGGCACGAAGGCCAGGGGAGCAAACGGG
rnacentral:rRNA from 1 species